rnacentral:rRNA from 1 species
UACGUAGGCAGCGAGCGUUGUUCGGAAUUACUGGGCGUAAAGAGUGUGUAGGCGGUGUUCUAAGUUUGGUGUGAAAUCUCCCGGCUCAACUGGGAGGGUGCAUCGAAAACUGGAGUGCUCGAGGGUGGGAGAGGUAAGCGGAAUUCCUGGUGUAGCGGUGAAAUGCGUAGAUAUCAGGAGGAACACCUGUGGUGUAGACAGCUUACUGGACCACUUCUGACGCUGAGACACGAAAGCGUGGGUAGCAAACAGG